UGAGGAAUAUUGGACAAUGGGCGCAAGCCUGAUCCAGCCAUGCCGCGUGCAGGAAGAAGCAUCUCUGGUGUGUAAACUGCUUUUGUACGGGAAGAAACACUCCUUCGUGAAGGAGCUUGACGGUACCGUAAGAAUAAGGAUCGGCUAACUCCGUGCCAGCAGCCGCGGUAAUACGGAGGAUCCAAGCGUUAUCCGGCAUCAUUGGGUUUAAAGGGUCCGUAGGCGGUUUAAUAAGUCAGUGGUGAAAGCCCAUCGCUCAACGAUGGAACGGCCAUUGAUACUGCUAGACUUGAAUUAUUAGGAAGUAACUAGAAUAUGUAGUGUAGCGGUGAAAUGCUGAGAUAUGACAUGGAAUAACAAUUGAGAAGGAAGGUUACUACUAAUGGAUUGACGCUGAUGGACGAGAGCGUGGAGAGCGAACA
rnacentral:rRNA from 1 species